GGACGAUUAGCUCAGCGGGAGAGCACUACCUUGACACGGUAGGGGUCACAGGUUCAAUCCCUGUAUCGUCCAC
rnacentral:tRNA from 3 species